rnacentral:rRNA from 1 species
UUGAACGCUGGCGGCAGGCCUAACACAUGCAAGUCGAGCGGUAACACAGAGAGCUUGCUCUCGGGUGACGAGCGGCGGACGGGUGAGUAAUGUCUGGGAAACUGCCUGAUGGAGGGGGAUAACUACUGGAAACGGUAGCUAAUACCGCAUAACGUCGCAAGACCAAAGUGGGGGACCUUCGGGCCUCAUGCCAUCAGAUGUGCCCAGAUGGGAUUAGCUAGUAGGUGGGGUAACGGCUCACCUAGGCGACGAUCCCUAGCUGGUCUGAGAGGAUGACCAGCCACACUGGAACUGAGACACGGUCCAGACUCCUACGGGAGGCAGCAGUGGGGAAUAUUGCACAAUGGGCGCAAGCCUGAUGCAGCCAUGCCGCGUGUGUGAAGAAGGCCUUCGGGUUGUAAAGCACUUUCAGCGGGGAGGAAGGCGGUGAGGUUAAUAACCUCAUCGAUUGACGUUACCCGCAGAAGAAGCACCGGCUAACUCCGUGCCAGCAGCCGCGGUAAUACGGAGGGUGCAAGCGUUAAUCGGAAUUACUGGGCGUAAAGCGCACGCAGGCGGUCUGUCAAGUCGGAUGUGAAAUCCCCGGGCUCAACCUGGGAACUGCAUUCGAAACUGGCAGGCUAGAGUCUUGUAGAGGGGGGUAGAAUUCCAGGUGUAGCGGUGAAAUGCGGAGAGAUCUGGAGGAAUACCGGUGGCGAAGGCGGCCCCCUGGACAAAGACUGACGCUCAGGUGCGAAAGCGUGGGGAGCAAACAGGAUUAGAUACCCUGGUAGUCCACGCCGUAAACGAUGUCGAUUUGGAGGUUGUGCCCUUGAGGCGUGGCUUCCGGAGCUAACGCGUUAAAUCGACCGCCUGGGGAGUACGGCCGCAAGGUUAAAACUCAAAUGAAUUGACGGGGGCCCGCACAAGCGGUGGAGCAUGUGGUUUAAUUCGAUGCAACGCGAAGAACCUUACCUGGUCUUGACAUCCACAGAACUUUCCAGAGAUGGAUUGGUGCCUUCGGGAACUGUGAGACAGGUGCUGCAUGGCUGUCGUCAGCUCGUGUUGUGAAAUGUUGGGUUAAGUCCCGCAACGAGCGCAACCCUUAUCCUUUGUUGCCAGCGGUUAGGCCGGGAACUCAAAGGAGACUGCCAGUGAUAAACUGGAGGAAGGUGGGGAUGACGUCAAGUCAUCAUGGCCCUUACGACCAGGGCUACACACGUGCUACAAUGGCAUAUACAAAGAGAAGCGACCUCGCGAGAGCAAGCGGACCUCAUAAAGUAUGUCGUAGUCCGGAUUGGAGUCUGCAACUCGACUCCAUGAAGUCGGAAUCGCUAGUAAUCGUAGAUCAGAAUGCUACGGUGAAUACGUUCCCGGGCCUUGUACACACCGCCCGUCACACCAUGGGAGUGGGUUGCAAAAGAAGUAGGUAGCUUAACCUUCGGGAGGGCGCUUACCACUUUGUGAUUCAUGACUGGGGUG